rfam:Coniophora puteana RWD-64-598 SS2 unplaced genomic scaffold CONPTscaffold_2, whole genome shotgun sequence.
UGCCCCGUGGCUGAGUUGGUUACAGCGUCCGACUGUUACAUCAUAGCAUCAAUCGGAAGGUCGUGAGUUCGAGCCUCACCGGGGCAG